rnacentral:lncRNA from 1 species
GUAUCGAAACAAAGGUUCAACUCUGUGAAUUGAGGGCAUACAUCACAAAGAAGAUUCUGAGAAUGCUUCUGUCUAGAUUUUAUAUGAAAAUAUUCCCGUUUCCAACGAAAUCCUCAAAGCUAUCCAAAUAUCCACUUGCAAAUGCCACAAAAAGAGUGUUUCCAAACUGCUCUGUGAAAAGGAAGGUUCAAGUCUGUUAGUUGA